rnacentral:rRNA from 1 species
AAGAGUGAACUAGCUAACUGAAAUCUUAAAAUCAUUGAUUCAAUGGUUCUUGAGAUAACGUAAGGGAUAAAAAUGAUAGUACCUUACUAUAAGUGUUGUCCAACAAUACUGGUGCCAGAAGACUCGGUAACGCCAGAAACGCAAACGUUAGUCGUCCUAAUCAGGCGUAAAGGGUAAGUAGGCUGCUUUGAAAGUUGUUAAUUAGAAAGCUCUUUAAAAAUUUUUUAAAGGUAAUUAAUAAUGAAUUAAAGCUAGAAUCAAAUAGGGGAUAAGCCAAAUAAUAUUUAGUGUAAGGCUAAUAUCUUUAGAUACUAAAUGGAAUACUAAGGUGAAAACUUUUAUCUACUAAUGAUUGACGCUGAGGAACGAAGGUGAGAAUAGAAAACAGGAUUAGAGACCCAGGUAUCUCUCACUGUCAACGAUGAAUGGUAGUUGUUAGUUAAACUUAACUAGUAACGAUGUUAACGCGUUAACCAUUCCGCCUUGCGAGUACGG